GGGAAUAGAGUUGGGAUUUGGCAGGUGUGGGGGUGAGAGGCUGAGCUCUGGUAGAGCAGCCAAGAAGAGAAAUUAUUCACAGUAGCACAGAACAGAGAAGCAGCAUCAAACACACCCGGUACAUAUACAGGACGCUCGGUUAUUUCUAAAAAAAAAAAUCCUCGCUGCCUUUUUUACUUCUGUGCACGUUGUGAAGUCAUUACCUCCCGGCAAGCUCACGCUCAGCUGCUGUGAUCAGCGCUG